rnacentral:lncRNA from 1 species
CCAAAUAGAGACAUAACACAGCUCUCUAAGGUCAGGGCGGUCAGACAUGGGUGGCUGUACACAGAGUCCUGGAGGUCAAGUGUCCUUUCAACUGGGCACAAGACAACAGCACUCUAGACGACUGGCUACAGAACAAGAGAGGGCAUCUGGCGCAGCUGCAGAUGUUUGUGAAACAAGAACUGAUUUCAUCACGUGGACCCCCAAACAAUGUGUAAUUGUCCGUGUCCCGUGAGAUGAUGACUUCCUCACCAAGGCUCUGGACACAAUAAACCGAUUCUGGGCCAAGUAUAUCUACAACAAGAUGGUUGGCACAGCCCAUUUACAAGGAGACAGACUCCAGUCUACAGACAGUCCAGGGUGGAAUACAGUGCAGAGAGGAAGAAUGGGAAGCUGGUACAUGAAGAAAAGUUAGGAAUAGAGUAGUUCAGUCGAAGGACUCAACCCUGAAUCAUGUAAUCGGUCUGGUGAAGAAAAAAAAAAAGAUUGGCAUUUCAGGACCCUUUUUAGGCAUCCCUUUGGCUGUCACAUUCAUUUGUAUUCUUGUAAACAACACUAUCAGACAUGUUCACCAUUGCAGCACAUACGUGUAGUAUGUUGUCAACCAUCGUCUCUUCUCGCUUGUCAACUUCAUCCCUAAGGGUUCUUCAAGAAGCACAGUGGAUGUUCCCCAUGGAGGAUAUGGAAUAUUCCCUUCAGGACACCGUUUCACCCUCUCUAUAGAAUAAGAAUCACCUCUAAUCGCCAUGUACAUACAUUUGACCUGGUGAAAUGGUGCUACAGUGUAUACAAUAGACAGAAUAUGGACAGAACUUACCCAUAGUCUAAUUGUAGUACAUACACAUAAUACACAAUAGUAAGUAAUUUAAGUAAAAAUGUAUACAAUGUAAAGUGUGUGGGUGCAAAUAGCUAAUGCAGUUGAUGAGUUGUCAGAGAUAUACACUGACUGUACAAAUCAUUAAGAAAACCUGCCAUGACAUACACUGACCAGGUGAAUGCAGGUGAAAGCUAUGCCAUCUUAUUAAUGUCACUUGUUAAAUCCUAUUAAAUCAGUGUAGAUGAAGAGGAGGAGACAGGUUAAGCACCUUUGAAGGGGGUAUGGUAGUACGUGCCAAGUGCACCCUCAGCAGUUUCCUGUGUGUAUCAAGAAUGGUCCACCACCCAAAGGGCAUCUUAGCCAACUUGUCACAACUGUGGAAAGCACUGGAGUCAACACAUACCAAUAUGAAUCCACCUCUUUAAGACAGCCAAGAUCUGAAAUCACAACAAAAAACAAACAGC